rnacentral:misc_RNA from 1 species
GGUACUCUUAGAUCUCAAAUUUCCUUUCUUGGUAUUAACAUUUUCUCUAUAUUCACUGUUCUGCUUCAUAUAGUUCUUAAUUGUCAAUCAAUGUCACAAGGCUAUGCAAUUGAGCUUUAUUUCGAUCCGGCCCUUGAAAACCAGGUCUUGAAGGCCUGGAACGUGCUAGCUCGACGCCAAAUCAGCACCCAACUCAUCGAAAUCGAGUCUCGCCCUCACAUAACCCUCUAUUCUAGCUCGUUUGUUGAGCCUACUAAACUGGAAUCGAUAGUCAAGACCUUUGCCUCAAAGCAGGAACCAUUACCCUUAUCUCUCUCUGCAAUUGGGGGUCUUCCAAAUGACAACAAUUUCCUCUUUUUAGCCCCUACGCCGUCACUUUCACUUCUUCAAUUUCAUUCUCAGUUGUACGAUGCAUUGAAGAAGGAGGGAAUUGAGAUCAGUGAAGAGUACCGCCCUG